rnacentral:lncRNA from 1 species
AGAUGAAAAACUGACUUUUGAGGGAGAGGUUUGCAUCUGUGGAGGAAAUGAAGUGAAGUAAACAACAGAUAGAAACAGGCUUUCUUUGAAGCCCCCCUUGUUGGGACCUGGGAAAGAUGAAUUGAGAGUCUGACAAUUUAAAGCUCUGACAGAAAUAUUUACUGCUGGCUACGAUUUAUUUUUUUCUGAAGGCUGCUACCUGUUGCUAACUUUGGAGGAAGCCAGCUGCCAUGUCACAAAAAGAUUCAGGAAGCCAUGUGGAGAGGCCCACAUCAUGAGGAACUGAGGUCUUUGCCAAUUACCAGCAAGGAAAUGAGGCCUCCUGCCAACAGCCACGUGAGUAUCCUACCUUGGAAAUGGACCCUCUAACUUCAAUCAGCCUUCAAAUAACUGCAGCCCCAGUUGAUGGCUUGACUGCAACCUUAGGAGAAACCCUGAGCCAAAAACAUUGAGGAAAAACACCCCCAGAUUCCUAUCAGAAAUUGUGUAAGAUAAUAAAUGUUUGUUGUUUUAAGCUGCUAAGUUUUAGGGUGAUUUGUUAUACAGAAGUAGAUAACUAAUACAGAGACAGAAGAAUUACUUUUGGGAGGGUUUGAUCAUUCUGGGCCUGCAAGAAGCCUAAACUGCUUCCUACCCCUUUGUACUGAUGAGAGCUGAGGCACAUGGUCACACCUAAGAAGCUAACUGCAAGAGCACCUGGGAAAUACAGUCUAGCCAAGUGCCCAGGAGGAAGGAAACACUUUGAUAAAUAGCUGGCCAGUCUUGGCCACAUUCAGUGAGUUUAUAUUUGGGAAUGUUUGGACCACAAGAAUCUGGUGACUAUUUAUUCCAAUUCAGACAAGAUUCUUAGAGGAAAUAGGUAAAGUCUUUGACAUAGUCUCUUUUCGAGAAUGAUGCCAAAAAUGGCUGGAGUUUGUCUAUGUCUUUGGUUUGUCUAAUUUAGUAGUGCUGUCAUAACAACAGCAGCAGCAGCACCGCUACUGACAACUAACAUUCAUUGAACACCCAGGCAUUGU